CUUGAGCCAUUGAAGAAAAUAUAAUCUGAUCAAACAUUAUUCAGCUUUAAAUAUUGUUCAGCUUUAAAGUUACUGUGCAACUGUGUAAUAAAAAUAUGCGCUCACGACUUUGGCCUUGAGAGCGAUAAGAAGCGAUCGCCUCAUUCUGCAGGUGCAAGAUAUCUGCAAGCGAAGAGACUAGAACACCCAAGGCCGCUUUCCUUUUAUGGAGUUGUUUUUCUGCUAAUGCAGCACUGUCCUCACAACCCCCUCCUGUAAGUUUUAGAGAAUAUAUACCCAUCCUCACAGCAAAUAUUAGGAAUCUCCUGAUGUGAGCUGUGUUGAGAGGUUGUCUCUGUCUCAAUAAAAGUUCACUGAUUCCCCCAUCUGCUGCAGGUGUCCGGUUGUCUUCAUUCUCCGCCAGCCUGGAUCCGCUCCAGGGCAACUGGAACGGAUGGGAGGAAAUCGGCCGUGGUCUGAGUGAACGGAGUUUGGACAAAAGCUGUGUGCACACAAAAACAAGGACAGCUGUUACUGCUUUCAUCGGGAACCGAGACUGCUUGCAGCCGACCCCUGGGCAGGGUGGUGCCUGGACUCUUUUCUCCUCAUCUGCAAUGACAGAUAAAGACAAAUGAUAAGACCCGAGGAGUUUUUCGAGCCAGGCUUCGACACGUCUCUGUGUUCCUUUGAAUGUUACUUAUUUUUGUAUGUUGACCCAUUUAAGAUGGGUCAAAAGGGGGAUUUGAAGAAAAUAUAAUCUGAUCAAACAUUAUUCAGCUUUAAAUAUUGUUCAGCUUUAAAGUUACUGUGCAACUGUGUAAUAAAAAUAUGCGCUCACGACUUUGGCCUUGAGAGCGAUAAGAAGCGAUCGCCUCAUUCUGCAGGUGCAAGAUAUCUGCAAGCGAAGAGACUAGAACACCCAAGGCCGCUUUCCUUUUAUGGAGUUGUUUUUCUGCUAAUGCAGCACUGUCCUCACAACCCCCUCCUGUAAGUUUUAGAGAAUAUAUACCCAUCCUCACAGCAAAUAUUAGGAAUCUCCUGAUGUGAGCUGUGUUGAGAGGUUGUCUCUGUCUCAAUAAAAGUUCACUGAUUCCCCCAUCUGCUGCAGGUGUCCGGUUGUCUUCAUUCUCCGCCAGCCUGGUUAAGUCAAUUCCUCCUUAACAUCUAAAAGAACCUAUUUAAUGAAGGAAGACGGGUUCACUUUGUGUUUAAUAUUAUUCUAUUG
ensembl:lncRNA